AGAAUCAACGCUGGCGGCGUGCCUAACACAUGCAAGUCGAACGAGAAAGUGGAGCAAUCCAUGAGUAAAGUGGCGACCGGGUGAGUAACACGUGACUAACCUACCUUCGAGUGGGGGAUAACCUCGGGAAACCGAGGCUAAUACCGCAUAACAUCGCAAGAUCAAAGCAGCAAUGCGCUGGAAGAGGGGGUCGCGGCUGAUUAGCUAGUUGGCGGGUAACGGCCCACCAAGGCGAAGAUCGGUAGCCGGCCUGAGAGGGCGCACGGCCACACUGGAAACUGAAACACGGUCCAGACUCCUACGGGAGGCAGCAGUGGGGAAUUUUGCGCAAAUGGGGGAAAACCCUGACGCAGCAAACGCCGCGUGGAGGAUGAAGCCCCUUGGGGCGUAAACUCCUUUCGACCAAAGACGAUAAUGACGGUACUGGUGGAAGAAGCACCGGCUAACUCUGCGCCAGCAGCCGC
rnacentral:rRNA from 1 species